rnacentral:rRNA from 1 species
GACAGCCGCGGUAAUUCCAGCUCCAAUAGCGUAUAUUAAAGUUGCUGCAGUUAAAAAGCUCGUAGUUGAAUUUCGGGACCAAUAUGUCGGUCGUGCCUCGGUACGUACUGGCAUCGUUGGUUUCUCCCUUCUGACGAACCAUGAUGUCAUUUAUUUGGUGUCGUGGGGAAUCAGGACUGUUACUUUGAAAAAUUAGAGUGUUUAAAGCAGGCUCACGCUUGAGUACAUUAGCAUGGAAUAAUGAAAUAGGACGUUUGAUUCUAUUUUGUUGGUUUCCAGGAUCGACGUAAUGAUUAAUAGGGAUAGUUGGGGGCAUUAGUAUUCAAUUGUCAGAGGUGAAAUUCUUGGAUUUAUUGAAGACUAACUACUGCGAAAGCAUUUGCCAAGGGUGUUUUCAUUAAUCAAGAACGAAAGUUAGGGGAUCGAAGACGAUCAGAUACCGUCGUAGUCUUAACCAUAAACUAUGACCGACUAGGGAUCGGAUGAUGUUAAUUUUUAAUGU